GUCAGCAGCCCUGUCACCCUGCACCUCACUGCAGCUCAGCAGGUGUGAGCCUGGUCAGUACCUGGAGGGGAGACCUCCUGGGAAAAACCAAGGUUGCUGCUGGAA
rnacentral:rRNA from 1 species